UUUUGGUUGCCUUGCAAAUAUUUUGGAUUAAUACCAUUUAUUUGAAUUCAUACAAAGGCCAUUUCAUUAUGUGGAAAUAAAGUCAACAUACAUUCCAAUGUGUAUUCAAAUAUAUACAAAUCCAAAUUCCAUUACAAUUAUACAUAACAUCUAUACGUUUUUACCAAAACCUAUCCUAAUUGUCAAUCAUUCUUCAUGUUUUAAACUUCAAGUUUCCAAAACUUCGUGUUAUGCGUCUUUGUUCCAACUUCAUAUCAUCUUGGUGUUUUCCUUUUGCCUUUGCUUCCCAAUAGCCCUGAUAUGA